rnacentral:rRNA from 1 species
UACAGAGGUCUCAAGCGUUGUUCGGAUUCAUUGGGCGUAAAGGGUGCGUAGGCGGCGGCGUAAGUCGGGUGUGAAAUCAUUGGAGCUUAACUCCGAAACUGCAUUCGAUACUGCCGUGCUUGAGGACUGGAGAGGAGAUUGGAAUUUACGGUGUAGCAGUGAAAUGCGUAGAUAUCGUAAGGAAGACCAGUGGCGAAGGCGAAUCUCUGGACAGUUACUGACACUGAGGCGCGAAGGCCAGGGGAGCAAACAGG